rnacentral:lncRNA from 1 species
CCGCCAUUUCUCUUUUACACCUCGCCUUUGUCCUUACCGCCGCUUCUCCCUUUCCUUUCCCCCUUCUCUUCCCCUCUUUCUACUCUCCCAUCGGCGACUGCGAUUUCUCAUUUCUCUUCUCGCCGGUCGGAGCUCUCCCAUUUUUCGGCGAAACCCUAGUUCUCCAGCUACCCUAUCCCUCUCGCAGCAGCAUCGAGGUAAUAUAGCUCAUUCAUUUUUUGAGAUUUAGAAUAUGAAGUUUUUAUUCAAAUGCUGAAAUAGUUUCGAUUUGUUUUAAUUUAUAGAAG